rnacentral:rRNA from 1 species
GACGAACGCUGGCGGCGCGCUUAACACAUGCAAGUCGAGCGAGAACCGGGACUUCGGUCCUGGGGACAGCGGCGAACGGGUGAGUAACACGUGGAUAACCUGCCCUCGGCACCGGGAUAGCCCGAGGAAACUCGGAUUAAUACCGGAUAGCCCUUCCGACUUUCGAGUCGGUCCGAAAAGGUAAGCUUCGGCCUCUGGCCGAGGAUGGUCCGCGGCGGAUUAGCUUGUUGGUGGGGUAACGGCCUACCAAGGCAUCGANCCGUAGCUGGUCUGAGAGGACGA